ensembl:misc_RNA Y_RNA Y RNA
GGCUGGUUUGAGUGCAGUGAGUUUAUGACUAAUUGACCACAGUCCAUUACAGAUUUCUUAGUUCCUUCUCUACUUCUACUGCAUACUUGACUAACCUAAA